ACUGGAACAAAUCAAACAGGCACGUAUUAAAAGUGCUUUUGUAUUUGCCCCCUCGCUGUCAGUGCACAGUAACGACACAAUGUUAGUCGAUUCGAAGGUCCCCCACGGUCCCAAGAAACCAAGAAAGGCAGGGGACAUUGUAGGCCCGUGCAAUCAGCGUAAGCAUAUUGCAGUCAACAGUCGUCUUCUUGGCGCAGCGAUGCUGAAACCGCUUGUACAUCAUACUGAUGAGAGCCGCAAAGUAGUUUGUUAACAUUCAUUCAUCUUGUCAGCUGCGGCGACGGCAGCUUUACUGGCAAUAUGCUGCCGGGGAUAGGAAUGGGGAUUUGCUAUUUUCACUCUUUCUCCCAGAAGCAGGUGUGAGCAAGCGUUCUGGUCUUCUUCUUUGUUGUUUAACGAGAUGAGCAAGAGUGAGCAAGAAAUAAAGCUUUGGGCGAACAACGGAGAACAGAUGUAAGCAGAGAGGAGCAAGAAAUAACUUUUUGGCCGAACAACAACGAACAGGGUUGAGCAAGGAAUAACUUUUUGGCCGAACAUCAACGAACAGGGGUGAGAAAGGAAUAACUUUUUGGUCAAACAUCAACGAACAGGGGUGAGCAGGGAAUAACUUUUUGGCCAAACAUCAACGAACAGGGGUGAGCAAGUAAUAACUUUUUGGCCGAACAUCAACGAACAGGGGUGAGCAAGGAAUAACUUUUUGGCCAAACAUCAACGAACAGGGGUGAGCUAGUAAUAACUUUUUGGCCAAACAUCAACGAACAGGGGUGAGCAAGUAAUAACUUUUUGGCCGAACAUCAACGAACAGGGGUGAGCAAGGAAUAACUUUUUGGCCAAACAUCAACGAACAGGGGUGAGCAAGGAAUAACUUUUUGGC